GAUGAAGAACGUAGUGAAAUGCGAUAAGUAAUGUGAAUUGCAGAAUUCAGUGAAUCAUCGAAUCUUUGAACGCACAUUGCGCCCGCCAGUAUUCUGGCGGGCAUGCCUGUCUGAGCGUCAUUUCAACCCUCAAGCACGGCUUGUGUGUUGGGCCUCCGUCCUCCUCCCGGGGGACGGGCCCGAAAGGCAGCGGCGGCACCGCGUCCGGUCCUCGAGCGUAUGGGGCUUCGUCACCCGCUCUUGUAGGCCCGGCCGGCGCUUGCCGACACAUCAAUCUUUUUUCCAGGUUGACCUCGGAUCAGGUAGGGAUACCCGCUGAACUUAAGCAUAUCAAUAAGCGGAGGA
rnacentral:misc_RNA from 1 species